rnacentral:rRNA from 1 species
AUUGAACGCUGGCGGCAGGCCUAACACAUGCAAGUCGAACGGUAACAGGAAGCAGCUUGCUGCUUCGCUGACGAGUGGCGGGCGGGUGAGUAAUGUCUGGGAAACUGCCUGAUGUAGGGGGAUAACUACUGGAAACGGUAGCUAAUACCGCAUAACGUCCCAAGACCAAAGAGGGGGACCUUAUGGCCUCUUGCCAUCUGAUAUGCCCAGAUGGGAUUAGCUAGUAGGUGGGGUAACGGCCCACCUAGGCGACGAUCCCUAGCUGGUCUGAGAGGAUGACCAGCCACACUGGAACUGAGACACGGUCCAGACUCCUACGGGAGGCGGCAGUGGGGAAUAUUGCACAAUGGGCGCAAGCCUGAUGCAGCCAUGCCGCGUGUAUGAAGAAGGCCUUCGGGUUGUAAAGUACUUUCAGCGGGAAGGAAGGGAAUAAAGUUAAUACCUUUGCUUAUUGACGUUACCCGAAGAAGAAGCACCGGCUAACUCCGUG